AUAAGAAAUAACAGCAUUAAGGAUUAUCCAUUCCAUGGAUGCAUGCACACAACCUUUGUCCAAUCACAGGGAGGACAAUGGGGGAAGGAACAAAGCAGAAAGGGACUAAUUGAAUGGUGGGUUCAGAUGUUUCUCAUCUCUCUGUUUCAGGGCACAUGCAGACUGUUGCUAUUUUGGGGUGGGAUUCAAUCACAUCCUGGCAAAUUCAGGUUGUGCAACAAAGCUAAAAAAUAAGACUUUCUGGACUUUCAAGGAAAGUGAUGAGCAAAUGUACAGACGACCGUAGUGCCUGGAGACAUACAGGUUGUGCAUCCAUAGCGGUGACCAGAGGAGGAAUGACCAUUGGGAGGAGAGCAGAGACAAGAAACGCCAUGGUGCACCUGCAGCAGCACAAGUGGACCCCUUCAUUUUCUCCAGCUGCAACAAAACAAAACAUGUCUCUCCUGUAUCGGCCUCCAUAGAUGCUGUGACUUUGCAACAGUUUGACUUCACCCACAAAGGCACACUCCUCCAUUGUCUCCCGAGACAGACAGAUGCCAACAACAUAUAAGCCCAGGAUCAAUGUUAGGAAGAGUUUUAUACAGUUCAGAGCAAUCCUACUGGGCAGGGGAGAGAGGCGUAGUGGUGGAUAAACGGCAAAAUCCAAGGCCUUGCUGGGUCUUUUUAUUUUUUUUAAUCACUGUCAUUGAGAGGGUGCCUUGGGGGCGAUGGACUAUCUCUCCUCCUCCAAGGGCAUGCCAAAUGAAUUAGGAUGGUGGCAUUCAGGGUCCAUCCAUACCCAGUUUGCCCCAGCCACAAACCCCAGAGCACUCUUCUUUGCCCCAUGACUGUUCACCUUCACUGUAGAAGCAGCAAGCAGACUUUUCCUCUGCUGCUGCAAAGACGAUUCCUUGAUCAGACCUUCCUUUCCAAGGGUUGGGCUUCCCUCUCCCUCAGAAAAUAAAGAGUUUCACGCCAUACUUUUUAAGGGUAGGAUUGCAACUUUAAUAACAAAAAAAGGGGGGGGGGAAUUAGCUGAGCAAGAUGCUAAGAGAUGAAAGCUUUUUGGAUACCAUCAUUUCUUUUUCUUUCAGCAAGAUGAGGCUGGCCAAGCAAAAACUUCCAAGCAUUCUUCUAGUGUUGACUGUCUGGAGGGCGCCUUCAGAGUUCUCAAGAAUCGGAGCCUGGCUACUUUACAACUUGUAGUCAGUCCUUUAAUCAAAGGCCAAGCAAUACAAAGAGUGCUAAAGUGCUUUCUAAUACACAUCUCAUAUUAGCUGAGCCUGGAAACCAUAACCUUUUGAUCUAACACAAUUUUAGUAGGCAUUAUGGAAACUCUGCCAAAACGGUCAGAGUCUGGCUAAUGCAAUAAUAUAUAUGUGUCUGUAUCCUUGUCACAUUCUUUUACUUCAUAACGUUUGUACAUUGCAUGGCCUUAGUAAGAGAUCAUUUCCCCCAGACAUAUCUAGGAAACAAUGAACCCUCAGAUUGACCUGAAAGUCUCUGUAAACCCCUCAGGAAAUGCUGGCUUGCAGGAUCUGAGGAUCAAAGCAGAAAAUGUCCAAUGUUAAAUGAUUAACAUUCUUUGGAUGAUGGAUUGCAUGGGGUUCCUAAAUGAUUUUUGUUUUCUAAUUAAGGCUUUUGUUUAAUGCUUGGUCUCAUAUUAAAUAACAACAAUACCCUGAACACUAGCCAUGCAGUUGCUGCUAACACCACGUUAAUUAGAUUUUGAUUUAUAUGCUAAUUUUAUCUACAUAUAUCAGGCUUUACAUGCAAACGGUCAGGUUCUGAUUUAGUAAGAAUGAUAGUAGCUCCACCAAACUGUUUGCAUGACAAAGAAAUCCCUCAACUGUAUGUACACAGCCUAGGUAAAACACAGUCUUUUAAGCACCCCCAACUUUCUCUGGUUGUUGUGUAGUGGCAGUUUGGCCGGUGGCAGGGGGCAGGGAGAAAAUAAAACUUAUCAUGGUC